GGGGAUGUGGCUCAAGUGGUAGUGCGCUCGCCUGGCAUGCGUGUGUCCUGGGUUCGAUCCUCAGCACCA
rnacentral:tRNA from 1 species